AUUGAACGCUGGCGGCAUGCCUUACACAUGCAAGUCGAACGGCAGCACGGGUGCUUGCACCUGGUGGCGAGUGGCGAACGGGUGAGUAAUAUAUCGGAACGUACCUUAUUGUGGGGGAUAACGCAGCGAAAGCUGUGCUAAUACCGCAUAAUCCCUAAGGGGGAAAGCGGGGGACCGUAAGGCCUCGCGCAAUUAGAGCGGCCGAUACCUGAUUAGCUAGUUGGUGAGGUAAAGGCUCACCAAGGCAACGAUCAGUAGCUGGUCUGAGAGGACGAUCAGCCACACUGGGACUGGGACACGGCCCAGACUCCUACGGGUGGCAGCAGUGGGGAAUUUUGGACAAUGGGGGCAACCCUGAUCCAGCAAUGCCGCGUGAGUGAAGAAGGCCUUCGGGUUGUAAGGCUCUUUUGUCAGGGAAGAAACAGCAGCUCUAACACAGUUUGCGAAUGACGGUACCUGAAGAAUAAGCACCGGCUAACUACGUGCCAGCCGCCGCGGUAA
rnacentral:rRNA from 1 species